rnacentral:rRNA from 1 species
UACGGAGGGGGCUAGCGUUGUUCGGAAUUACUGGGCGUAAAGCGCACGUAGGCGGACUGUUAAGUCGGGGGUGAAAUCCUGGGGCUCAACCUCAGAAUUGCCUCCGAUACUGGCAGUCUCGAGUGCGGGAGAGGUGAGUGGAAUUCCCAGUGUAGAGGUGAAAUUCGUAGAUAUUGGGAAGAACACCAGUGGCGAAAGCGCUCUACUGGGCCAUAACUGACACUGAGGGACGAAAGCUGGGGGAGCGAAAGGG